GGAUUGCUGUCUUCAUACUACUUGAACUCAACUCCUCUUCCAAGGCCUGCUUCUUGUGAAAUCUAAGACUCUCCUAUGAAUGGACUGGAUAAAGAGAACGGAAUACUCCAGCCUGUGUUUCCCUCCAUUAUACCCAGAAUGCUUUAAGCCUGGAAGCAUUUUUGUGCUUGGGGAAUUUGUUUAGCCAGAAGGAAUGAAUAAGAUGCUUUAAAAAUCUUUCUACUCCCUGAUUGUUCUAGGCUCCAUUUUGCUGUUAAAUAGGCAAAUGCAUGGAACUAGAAAAUAUCAUCUUGACUGAGGAAACCCAGACACAAAGGAACACACAUAGUAUAUACUCACUGAUAAGUGGAUAUUAACCCAAAAGCUCAGAAUACCCAGGAUACAACUCACAGACCAUAUGAAGCUUAAGAAGAGGAAGUCCAAAGUGUGGAUGCUUCAAUCCUACUUAGAAGGGGAAACAAAUUAAUCUUAAGAAAUGGAGGGAGAAACCUGGAAGGGAGCGAGGAUGGGGGAGGGGAAAUGGGGGGGCAGGAUCAGGUAUGGCAGGAGAUGAGGGAGAUGUACAGAGGGUCAGGGAACUGAAUAGAGGUAUGUAGCAGUGGGGUAUGAGGAACUGCGGGUAGCCACUAGAAAGUCCCAAAUGCCAGGGAAGCAAGAUAUUCCCAGGACACAUUGGGGAAGACAUUAGCAGACAUACCCAACAAAGGGAAGAUAGAUCCUGUAGAGACCAUCUAGUAGAUAGGCAUGGCCUCCAGUUGACAGAUGGGACCAC
rnacentral:lncRNA from 1 species